GAUCAUAUUUCCUCUGCAAGAAGCCACUAUCGAUCUAUAGUGAGAAGCUGAACCAUAACUGAAACACUGCUAAGGAAGCAUGGGAUGAUGAGAGAAGACACAUUCAUCUUAGGAUGUAUUCGUUAACCAUAAGGUAGCUUAAACACUCAUCCUCAUAAUAGUACCACAAUAAUAUUUAUGAUAAAGACUUACUGUUCCCUAGACAGUGCUUG
rnacentral:lncRNA from 1 species